CCUACGGGGGGCUGCAGUGGGGAAUAUUGCACAAUGGGCGCAAGCCUGAUGCAGCCAUGCCGCGUGUGUGAAGAAGGCCUUCGGGUUGUAAGGCACUUUCAGCGGGGAGGAAGGCGGUGAGGUUAAUAACCUCAUCGAUUGACGUUACCCGCAGAAGAAGCACCGGCUAACUCCGUGCCAGCAGCCGCGGUAAUACGGAGGGUGCAAGCGUUAAUCGGAAUUACUGGGCGUAAAGCGCACGCAGGCGGUCUGUCAAGUCGGAUGUGAAAUCCCCGGGCUCAACCUGGGAACUGCAUUCGAAACUGGCAGGCUAGAGUCUUGUAGAGAGGGGUAGAAUUCCAGGUGUAGCGGUGAAAUGCAUAGAGAUCUGGAGGAAUACCGGUGGCGAAGGCGGCCCCCUGGACAAAGACUGACGCUCAGGUGCGAAAGCGUGGGGAGCAAACAGGAUUAGAUACCCCUGUAGUC
rnacentral:rRNA from 1 species